rnacentral:lncRNA from 1 species
ACAGACUGCCGGUCAGUGUCAGCAGGCGGUGGGUUAGGGUCCGCAGGCCCAGACCAGGCCGCCGACACCAAUAAGCUACAAGGAGGAGCUUUACCGCUGCCUGUACUACUACUGCCUGCGCUACUUCCCAGCCUGCGGCGUAGGGCGCAGCAAGGGCCUGACGCUUAGCGAGCAGGCGCUGCGCACCAAGCGGCUGUCGCCUGGAGGGCACGUUCAGGCAGAAGCUCCUCAGUGGCCACAAGUCCGCUAGCUCCGGCUACAGCCCUUGCCGCACACUCGCGUCACCUGAGCCUGUGUAGGUGCGCCCCCCAACUCCUCCCCCAGCCAGGUCCCGGGGACGCCGGCAGCGUCCCCCACCCCUGGCGCCGCUCAUCCUGGGCAGGAUCGGCCCCGUCUGAGGCUGCACCGCAUUAGGGAGCUGCACCCCUCGGCUUGACCUCUGAUGGCCGUUGCAACAACAUCAAAGCCUUUGGAACUUUGUAGGGGGUACGAGGGGCUAGGAAACCAAGAAAACAUCUUUUUAAAAAUAUAAGCGAUCGGGCCGGGCGCGGUGGCUCACGCCUGUAAUCCCAGCACUUUGGGAGGCCGAGACAGGUGGAUCACGAGGUCGGGAAUUCAAGACCAUCCUGGCCAGCAUGGUGAAUCCCGUCUCUACUAAAAAUGCAAAAAUUAGCCGGGCGUGGUGGCGGGCACAUGUAAUACCAGCUAUUCGGGAGGUUGAGGCAGAGGCAGACAAUUGCUUGAACCCGGGAGGCAGAGGCUGCAGUUAGCCGAGAUCGUGCCACUGCACUCUAGCCUGGGCGACAGACCAAGACUCCGUCUAAAAAAUAAAAAACUAUAUAUAUGUGUGUGUAUAUAUAUAUAUAUAUAUGCGAUGGAGCCCGGGAGGUUGAGGUUACUGUGAGCCGAGAUUACACCACUGCACUUCAGCCUGGGUGACAGAGGGAGACCCUGUCUCUAAAAAAAAAAUAUAUGCAAGUGAGAGCUUUUCUUCCAGUGCUCAUGCUCAGACUGAAGAAAGUUAUUGGGCCGGCCCAGUGGCUCACACCCGUAAUCCCAGCACUUUGGGAGGCCUAGGUGGGCGGAUCCCUUGAGCUCAGGCGUUCCAGACUAGCUUGGGCAACAUGGUGAAAUUCGGUCUCUACAAAAAUACAAAAAAUUAUCUGGGCGUCGUGGUGGGCGCCUGUAGUCCCAGCUACUCAGGAGGCUGAGGCAGGAGAGUGGUGUGAACCCGGGAGGCGGAGCUUGCAGUGAGCGGAGAUCGCUCCACUGCACUCCAGCCUGGGCCACAGAGCGAGACUCCAUCACACACACACACAAAAAAUUAGCUGGGCAUGGUGGCACGGGCUUGUAGUCCCCUCUGCUUGCGGGGCUGAGGCGGGAGGAUCGCUUGAGCCCAGGAGGUGGAGGCUGCAGUGAGCGGUGAUCUCGCCACUGCACUCCAGCCUGGUCGACAGAGUGAGACACUGUGUCAAAAAAAGAAAAAAGAGAAAGUAACUGAUCUGUGUUUUUGUCUGAUUUCCUACAGGAUGCCGAAGGACCUGUUCAAAGUAUUUUCUGUAACUCCAACUGUAACUUGGUUCUAGGAGGAGAGAAUCCAUGUUUGGUCAACAGAACUUUUCGCCGCCACUUAAGUUUACUGCUUCAAUAUCUUUUCCUUACUAAUUGAUUGUUAAUUAAGUAGUGUCCAAGUGAGUUAGCCUUUUUAGGGUUGAUUAAUUAAAAGAGCAGCAAGAAUGGCAUUUUAACUCUUCUGGUUUUUGGGGUUUUUUUUUCAGUUACUAUGAUAACUCUUUUCAAGUCCACAAAUGAUUUGUUCUUAGCUGUAAAGAAGAGGUCAGAAAUGUAAGUGGGGAGAGAACAAAGAUAGGAAUAUGUGUAAGAUUUCUACCUAAAUGUUGGCAGGGCACGGUAGCUUAUGUCUGUAAUCCCAGCACUUUGGGAGACCUAGGUGGUCGAUCGCCUGGAGUCAGAAGUUCGAGACCAGCCUGGCAAACAUGGCAAAACCCCAUCUCUACUAAAAAUACAAAAAUUAGAUGGGCGUGGUGGUGGGCGCCUUUAGUCCCAGCUACUUGGGAGGCUGAGGCAGGAGAAUCGCUUGAACCUGUGAGGCCAAUGUUGCGGUGAGCCAAGAUCAUGCCACUGCGCUACAGCCUGGGCAACAAAGCAAGACUCCAUCUAAAAAAAAGACUUCUACCUAAAUGUCACAGACUACUCUGAAGGUUAAUAUUUGGUAUUGUGAUGUAUAUUGCACAGUGUGUCAACCUCAAAUAAUCAAAAGGGUCAGAAUCUAAAGGGAGUUUAUUCAUGCACAGAGUUUAAGGAGAGCCACCUGGGAAGCGCAGGUACCCAAGGGUGGAAGACAGUGUUCCAAGGCUUAGAAGUUUGGGAUCACUUGCAUAGACAAAGUUUAGGGAAGUUUAGCAGAAUUUCAGCAUCUCUCCGUUUAAGGCUUAAUACGUAGUUAAAACAAUCUGAUUGGUUCAGGUGGUCUUUCUUUGACUCUGUCACCCAGGCUGAGUGCAGUGGUGCAAUCGCAACUCAUUACAGCCUCAGCCUCCUGGCUCAAGUGAUCCUCCCACCUCAGCAUCCCUAGUAGCUGGGACUACAGGCGUGCACCAACACACCUGACUAAUUUUUGUAUUUUUUGUAGAGACAGGGUUUCACCACAUUGCCCAGGCCAGUCUCAAAUUCCUGGGCUUAAGCAGUCCACUCACCUCAGCCUCCCAAAGUACCGGGAUUACAGGCAUGAGUGACGGCGCCCAGACUAGGUGGUCUUUUUUCCGGGAAAGGUGUAUUUUACCUUCUACACUGAAGAUGUAAGUCAUGGGGUCUUUUGUGCCAUCUGGUGUGAGGUACAGAACAAUAAAGGAGGCAGUUAAUGUGUAAUAAAGAUGAGUGAUUGGAAGGAGAGUAGGACUAGUCUCUGGUCUCUCAUAGUCAUUUACCGAAUGAAAAUAAUAAGGAAGGAAUAAAUUAUAAUUUAAGAAGCAGAAGUGGCCGGGCGCGGUGGCUCACACCUGUAAUCCCAGCACUUUGGGAGGCUGAGGCAGGUGGAUCAUGAGGUCAGGAGAUCGAGACCAGCCUGGCUAACACAGUGAAACCCCGUCUCUACUAAAAACACAAAAAAUUUGCUGGGCUUGGUGGCGGGCACCUGUAGUCCCAGCUACUUGGGAGGCUGAGGCAGGAGAAUGGCGUGAACCCGGGAGGUGGAGCUUGCAGUGAGCUGAGAUCCUGCCACUGCACUCUGACCCGGGCGACAGAGCGAGACUCCGUCUCAAAAAAAAAACAGAAGCAGAAGUUGCAAACAUGCUAUGUGACUCGGUCAGGGUGUAACUUCCCUCCUGGCAUGAUAAAUUUAUAGAGGGUCCUGAAACUUUUUUUUAUUUUAUAGUUGCUAGGUUCUCUGCACUGUCAAUCCCAUAACAAUUCUUCGAGGUAGAUACUGCUAUCCACUUUUUGUUUGUUUGUUUUUGAGACAGAGUCUUGUUCUGUCAUCCAGGCUGGAGUGCAGUGGCAUGAUCUCGGCUCACUGCAACCUCUGCCUCCUGGGUUCAAGCAAUUCUCCAACCUCAGCCUCCCCAGUAGCUGGGAUUACAGGUGCCCACUACCACACCCAGCUAAUUUUUGUGUUUUUAAUAGAGACCACGUUUCACCUUGUUUACCAGGCUGGUCUCGAACUCCUGGCCUCAGAUGAUUCACCCGCCUUGGCCUCCCAAAGUGCUGGGAUUACAAGCAUGAGCCACCACGCCCUGCCCACAUUUUAGAAAAUGAAUUAUAAGGCACAGAGAGUUCAAGUACCUUUCCAAAGAUGACACAGCUAAUUAGACAGCAGACUAGGUGACCUGACCCCAGGACUUUUGCCCUUGACCUCUGCACUACCUUGUUGAGCAGAGCAGUAAAUAUUUCAUACAUAGCUUUAUCCAGAAUUUUCCUGUUGGUUGUGGUAAACCAUGUUUUGUUGUUUUGAGACAGGCUCUUCUUCUGUUGCCCAGGCUGCUGGUGUGCAGCGACACAAACACUGCUCACUGCAGCCUUAACCUCCUGGGCUCAGGCUAUCCAUUUCAGCUUCCGGAAGUGCUGGGAUUACAGGAAUGUGCCAUCAUGCCUGGCCUCACACUACAUUUUAAUGCUUUUUUUGAAAAUGAAAACUUUUGGCCAGGCACAGUGACUCUCACCUGUAAUCCCAGCACUUUGGGAGGCUGAGGCGGGCGGAUCACGAGGUCAGGAGAUUGAGACCAUCCUGGCUAACAUGGUGAAACCCCAUCUCUACUAAAAAAUACAAAAAAUUGGCCAGGCAUGGUGGCGGGUGCCUGUAGUCCCAGCUACUUGGGAGGCUGAGGCAGGAGAAUGGUGUGAACCCGGGAGGUGGAGCUUGCAGUGAGCCAAGAUCAUGCCACUGCACUCCAGCCUGGGCAACAGAGUGAGACUCCAUCUCAAAAAAAAGAAAAUGGAAACUUUUACCAGUGAUUCCCUUCCUUCAAACUAAUGAUAAGGAAAUGAUGCUGUUCUGUUUUGUUUUCUUUUUGCAUGUUUUUUUUUUCUUUUUUGAGAGAGGUUCUUGCUCUGUUGCCCAGGCUGGAGUGAGGUGGCGCAAUCAUGGCUCACUGCAGCCUCGACCUCCCAGACUCAAGCAAUCCUUCCCCCAGCCUCCUAAGUAGCUGAGACUACAGGUUGUGCUACCACAGUUGGCUAAUUUUUGUAUUUUUUGUAGAGACAGGGUUUCACCAUGUUGCCCAGGGUGGUCUCAAACUCCUGGGCUCAGCUAUCCUCCACCCUUGGCCUCCCAAAGUGCUGGGAUUACAGGCGUGAGCCACUGUACUUGGCUGAUGCUGUUCUUUUCAAACGCAUAUUUACUUUUUUUUUUUUCUUUUUUUUUUUUUUUUUUUUUGAGAUGGAGUCUCACUCUGUCUCCCCGGCUGGAGUGCAGUGGUGCAAUCUUGACUCACUGCAGCCUGGUCUUGAACUCCUGACCUCAGAUGAUCCACGUGCCUUGGCAUCCCAAAGUGCUGGGAUUACAGGUGUGAUCCACCACACGUGACGAUUUUGCUCAUUUUAGAUACUAGAACUUGUUAAUUAAAAAAAAAAAUUUUUUUUUUUGAGCUGGAGUGCAGUGGUGUGAUCUCGGCUCACUGCCACCUCCGCCUCCUGGGUUCAAGCGAUUCUCCUGCCUCAGCCUCUCGAGUAGCUGGGACUACAGGCACAUGCCACCAUGCCCAGCUAAUUUUUGUAUUUUUAGUAGACAGGGUUUCACCAUGUUGGCCAGGAUGGUCUUGAUCUCUUGACCUCGUGAUCCGCCUGCCUCGGCCUCCCAAAAUGCAUGAGCCACUGCACCCGGCCAAAAAAAAUGUUUUUUGAGGCAAAAUCUUACUCUGUCAUGCAGGCUGGAGUACAGUGGCACAGUCACAGCUCACUGCAGCCUCGAAUUCCUUGACUCAGGUGAUUCUCCCACCAUAGUCUCCAAGUAUCUGGGACUACAGGUGCACGCCGCCACCACACCCAGCUAAUUUUUGUUUGUUUAUUUUGUUUUUUGAGAUAGAGUCUCACUCUGUUGCCCAGGCUGGAGUGUAGUGGCGCGAUCUCGGCUCACUGCAAGCUCUGCCUCCUGGGUUCAUGCCAUUCUCCUGCCUCCACCUCCUGAGUAGCUGGGACUACAGGCGCCUGCCACCACGUCUGGCUAAAUUUUUUGUAUUUUUAAUAGAGACGAGGUUUCACCAUCUAUUAAAGCCAAAAUGGUCUUGAUCUCCUGACCUCGUGAUCCGCCGGCCUCAGCCUCCCGAAGUACUGGGAUUACAGGCAUGAGCCACCGCACCCGGCCCACACCCAGCUAAUUUUUUUUUGUAUUUUGUAGAGAAAGUGUUUUGCCAUAUUGCCCAGGCUGGUCUCAAACUCAUGGGCUCAAGCGAUCUUCCAGCCUCAGCCUCCUAAAGUGCUAGGAUUACAGGCAUGAGCCACUGCUCCCAACCUUUUUAAUUCAAUUUAAAUUAUAAAUAUGAUCGCUAUAGAAAAUACGUGUAUUAUUUAUCUGCUGCUAUGUAACAAAUUACUCCAGACCUAGUGGCUGAAAAUAAAUACUUAGGACCAGGCACAGUGGCUCAUGCCUGUAAUCCCAACACUUUGAGAGGCCGAGGUGGGAAGAUCACUUGCGUCCAGCAGUUUAAGAUCAACGUGGGCAACAUAGUGAGACUCCAUCUCUACAGAAAAUGCAAACAUUAGCCAGGUGUGAUGGUGCACACCUGUGGUCCCAGCUACUUAGGAGGCUGAUGUGGGAGAAUCACUUGAGCCAGGGAGGGAGAGGUUACAGUGAGCCAAGAUCACACCACCACACUCCAGCCUGGGUGACAGAGUGAGACUCUGUCUCAAAAAUAAAUAAAUAAAUAAAUAAAUAAAAUAUUUACUUAGGAACUCCAUUUCUGUGAGUCAGGAAUUCAGGAGUGGCAUAGCUGGGUCAUCUGGGCUCAGGGUGUCUCGUGACAUUGCAGUCAAGCUGUCCUCUGAGACUGCAGUCACCUAAAGCCUGUUUCCAAGAUGGCUCACUCAUGUGACUGCUGACCGGAGGCCUCAGUUCCUGUCACAUGAGCCUCCCUACAGGCUGCUUAGGUGUCAUGGUGUGACAGCUGGCUUUCCCAAGUGAGUAAUCAAAGAGUGAGCAAGGAGGAAGCCAUAGUACCUUUUAUGAUGUAGCUUGCAAAGUUGCAAGCCAUCACUUUUGCUUUUUCCUAUCUGUCAGAAGGGAAUCACGUAACCCAGCCCACACUAAAAGAGAUAGGAACUGGGCUCCGCCUUUUGAAGAGAGUAUCAGAGAAUUUGGGGACAUAUUUUAAAUGACCAUACUAUGUUUAAUUAUUGCAAGUACAGUCACUGUAGAAAAAUUGGAAAAUAGGGACAAGCAGAAAAAACAGUCACUUGUAAUUCCAUGAAUCAAUGGAUAACAUUACUAGUUGGAUGUAUAUAAUUCCAAUAUUCAAAAUAUAUAUUUUCUCAAAAUAUAAAUACACUAUAUGUACUGUGGUGUAAUCUGCUCUUUCACUUAAUGUAUGUAUUAUAAAAAAUACCUUUCAUGUCAAAUAUUCUUUCCUUUUUUUUUUUUUAUUGAGACGGAACUUCAUUCUUGUCACCCAGGCUAGAGUGCAAUGGUGCGAUCUCUGCUCACUGCAACCUCUGCCUCAUGGGUUGAAGUGAUUCUCCUGCCUCAGCCUCCCUAGUAGCUGGGAUUACAAGCAUGAGCCACCAAGCCGAGCUAAUUUUUUUUUUUUUUUUUUUUUUGAGACGGAGUCUCACUCUGUCAGCCAGGCUGGAGUGCAGUGGCGCAAUCUCGGCUCAUGGCAAGCUCCGCCUCCUGGGUUCACCCCAUUCUCCUGCCUCAGCCUCCCGAGUAGCUGGGACUACAGGCACCUGCCACCACGCCCAGCUAAUUUUUUCUAUUUUUUAGUAGAGACAGGAUUUCACCGCGUUAGCCAGUAUGGUCUUGAUCUCCUGACCUUGUGAUCCACCUGCCUCGGCCUCCCAAAGUGCUGGGAUUACAGGCGUGAGCCACCAUGCCCAGCCAAGCUAAUUUUUUUGUAUUUUUAGUAGAGACAGGGUUUCACCAUGUUGACUAGGCUAGUCUCAGACUCUUGACCUCAAGUGAUCACCCACCUCGGCCUCCCAAAGUGCUGGGAUUACAGGCAUGAGCCACCGUACUUAGCCCCUCAUAACAUUUUUUAAUGGUUGCAUACAUUUCAUCAUAUGUAUGUAUCAUAACUUAUUUAAUGAAUUCUAUUAUAGGACACUUAGGUUGUUUACAGGUUUUCCCUGUUUUAUACAUUUUUUUAAAUGAACAUCCCUACAGCACAUUUAUUUGUACAAUCAUGACUGUUUCUUAAAUCCCUAGAAGUGAAAUUUUUGGAACACAGUUUGCAUAAUUUUAAAACUUCAAAUGCCUGUUACCUAAUUUGAGCAGAAUUUCUACUGCAAUAAUCAAGAGUCCAUUUGGCCAAAUUUCUUAUCUAUGACAACACCUGCAAAAGUUCAAAUACUGAUAACUAUAAGUGAAUUUGUUGAGAGUGACUGAAAUCACUAUGGAAUGAGAAAUUGCUAUAAAAAUUUUACUAAAGAGUGAACUGGCUGGGCGCAGUGGCUCACGCCUGUAAUCCUAGCACUUUGGGAGGCGAGGUGAGCGGAUUGCCUGGGCUCAGAAGUUUGAGACCGCCCUGGACAACAUGGUAAAAUCUCAUAAGUACUAAAAAUACAAAAUUAGCCAGGCGUGGUGGUGGGCACCUUUAAUCCCACCUACUCGGGAGGCUGAGGCAGGAGAAUCACUUGAGCCCAGGAAGCAGAGGUUGCAGUGAGCCGAGAUCACACCACUACAUUCCAGCCUGGGCGACAGAGUGGGACUCUGCCUCAAAAAAAUAAAAUAGGGAGAUCUGAGUGUGUUACCAACACCACCACACACUACCAAACAGUUUUCCAAAGUGGGUACACCAAUGUAAACUCCCAUUAGAGCUGUAUGAAUUUCUGUUACACCACAUCCUCCUAAUCUUUGGCAUUGUUAGUGCUUUCAGCUUUAGGAUUUUUGGUGACUCUGUAGAGGGAUCUAUUAGUGGGUAUUUUGUUUUUCGUUUUUGUUUUUGGGGUUUGGGGGUCUUUUUUUUUAACAAAAUAUGUUCCAAUUUAAAACAGUUCAUUUCAGGAGAAAGAUAUGAAAAGUCAACUUCCAUCGGUGUCUGGAUUAAGGGUCAAGGCCAGUGGCCAUGGGAAUUGACAAUGAGUCACUCCUCAGCCCCUCCCAUCCCCCAACAUGCACGACACAUGCAUUUCAAAUGGUAAAAGGUGUAAAAACAGCAUGGUAUAGAAUAUUCUUUCUUAAAUAAGGUUGAAAUUGUCUGAAAUCAGGACAGUGUAAUAUAUAACUAUCACUGGAUCCUGUCUGCCAGGCCAGCCGCAGGAUCUGCUGCCACCACUGGGGGACAUUGGCACAGGAAUGCUCUUCUAUGGGAGCCGGGGGGACCCAGGGUGUGGCUCUUGCGAUGGCCAGGGGCUGCUGCUGCCUGGGCAUGACAUGGUCAGAGAAGGUGGUCGGCGGUAACGAGAAAGCAUUGGCAGGUGAGAUUCACCAAGGUAAAAACACACACCCCACACGUGGCCCCACACAUGAUAAGGAUGGGGGUCAGCUGCCCCUUCCCUGACAUGAGGGUGUCACUGGCACGAGAACCACUGCCUGGGACUCUACUGGGACAGGCACCCCUGCCCCGGGCCUGCAACACCCACCUCUGCUUUUUUGAGGGGUCAAGGGAUCAGGCAGUCAGACCCAGAGGACCCAGGCCAAGAUGGUUUGGUGGCCUCAGCCUGGCUCUGGGAUGCUUGGCACGGCCCCCUCCCCUGGAAGGGCUAAUACUUAGCCCGGCAGCGCCCCAGCUUCCAUGCUAGGCGAUUCCAUCCUCCAGCCGGGUUCGGGUCCCCUUGUGCGAUCUGGGCCCUCAGAGAUGCCACAAGCCCAGGCCCCCUAGAGGGGUCCGCUGCCAGCAAUGGAUGCACCAGCCCCGCCAGGGGUGGCACCAUGUGCUCCCCCAGGGCACCUCCGGGCCCCAGCACUCACCAUGGGGGGCUUCUGGUACCGACCGUCUUAAGUAGACACUUGGCACAAAAAAAGGACGCUUCCAGGAGAGACAAAAGAGGAAAAGUGGCAUGGGGAAGCGAGGGGAGGGGGGGCACUGCCCCGUUUCCCAGUGGGGCUGAUCACCAGAAAUGUACCUGCCCUGACCAGCAUGCGUCUCCCCUGCCCCCUCCACGGGGGUCCCCCUCUUCUCCCCCCAGAAGCCAGCAGACAGCCCCUGUGCACGAGGAGUCCGGGGCAGGCCUGACAGUGGCAGCUGGGAACUGCUGAUCCGGGUGGUCUUAUUUGGGGGCUAUUUCUUUUGUAAUCUGUCAAGGCCAGAAGCAGCCGUGCGGGGUCCCGGAAUGGCAGCAGGCGAGGGCAGCACGGGUGAUCCAUCCCCGGGACAGCUAUGAGAAGCCCAGACCCACAGAGCGCCACAGUGUUCAGUCAACAGCAGACGAAAAAGCCACCACCCCAAAAAGAGUCCCCUCGUUCCCCACCUUCCGAGUCUUUCGGGGAGAACCAGUCUGGGUACCUCAGUGCCUAAAGGGGUCCCGGGAGGCAGUCCCUGGGGCUGUGGCUCAGUGUGCAGCCGUGGCCUGGCGGGCUCCCCAUCAGACCAUGGCCAUGGCCAGCCAGGCCUGGAAGCUGCCAGGGCCAGUGCCUGCCACCACCUUCCAUGCGCCCCUGGCCCAAGUGCAAGUGCUGGCUUCCCGCUCCUCGGGGGCGGCACAAGUGCAUGGGACAAGGCCAUGCACGGAGCUGCCUGCCAUGUCCCUCUCUCUACCUCUCAGGUACACACCUGAGAAUAUUCUGUAAAAGUCCCCACCCCACCCUCACUGUUUCCAAAUUGGGGACAACACAAAGCAGAACAAAACGAAAAGAAAUGCCCCCAUCCAAGUGGCCUUUCUCUCGGUGUUACUGGGGGACCGUCCCUCCAGCAGCUAAGCCCACGUGAGCUCCAGUGGGGUACACUCCAGCCGGGACAGGGUGGCUGUGCAGCCCUCUGGAGCCCCCCGGCAGCCCCAAGCUGCCAGUGUUGCCCCUGGAGGCACAGCCCAGAGGAGCCUCGAGCCCCUGUAACUCCAGCCCAGGGGCCCUUCCCAGCCUCUGCAGA